rnacentral:lncRNA from 1 species
GCCAGCUGUAAUCACUAAUGAGAGCACCAUAGAGAUGACGUCAAAUGGGUUCGGAUCUAUACGUUCUAAGAGGCAGGCUCUUACGCAUACUUCACCAGACACGAAGAGACUUGGACAUGCACGAUAAAUUAUGAAAGUCAGUGGAUGGAUCUUAACCCCGAAUCUGUAUCGCCCAAGAGGGAGACCGACGACCUGCUCCUGCAGAAUGCACCAAAAUGCGUGGCCUCACUCGUUCAUCUUGCCGACUGACCGCCAGGCCAGCAUACAGUUCCUCGCGACUCU